UUCCGGAGUCUAGCGCCCCGAGCGAGCUCUUCUUGGCAACGCUGAGAUUAACGCAGCUCCUUCUUUCUCCGGAGGUUCGGUCUCUCAUUAGGUCCGCGUGGAAACCUCACCACACAUUUUUUCGCCAUGGGUCGCAUGCACAGUGGAGGAAAGGGUAUUUCCCAGUCAUCCCUGCCAUACCGUCGCUCAGUCCCCAACUGGCUGAAGCUAACCAAGGAAGACGUCGAGGAACAGAUCAUCAAGCUCGCCAAGAAGGGCCUCACUCCCUCCCAGAUCGGUGUCCUGCUCCGAGAUAGCCAUGGUGUCGCCCAGGUGCGCUUUGUCACAGGCCAACAAGGUUCUGCGUGUGCUGAAGGCCAAGGUCUGGCUCCUGAUAUCCCUGAGGAUGUAUCACCUUAUCAAGAAGGCUGUUGCCAUCAGGAAGCAUCUUGAGAGGACAAGCUUCAUAGAGCCAGAAGACCGUGACGCCAAGUUCAGGCUUAUUCUUGUAGAGUCCCGUAUUCACCGUCUUGGCCGUUACUACAAGUCCCGUGCAGUCUUGGCCCCCAACUGGAAAUAUGAGUCAUCUACUGCCUCCGCUCUUGUUGCGGUCAAUAACCCCUUAACAAGACUGAAGGACUGUUGGGAUAUCUUUGGACCUCAGACCUCGGCUCAACCAAUUUUGAAGGUCUUUUAUUCCACUUCCUGUUCUCCAACCCCUUCUGUCCACUUCCAAAGAUGUGAAAGGGAUAAAAGGCUGGGUUUGGGUCAAGUUGUCGUUGCUCUCGUGGGGUGGGGGCUUAAGACACUGAGACAGGCCCAAUCACUUCAGAAUGUCUAA